GGGCCCAUAGUUAAGUGGUAUAACGGCGCAUUCGCAUUGCGCAAGCGGGAGUUCGAUUCUCCCUGGGUCCA
rnacentral:tRNA from 1 species